GUCUUCAGUGACCACAUUUCAUGCUGAUUUGCAUUUCUUUUCUUCAUGCGUGACAAACAGUGAUUCCAUUUUUGUUGUUUGCAAAUGGUGAGUCGAACAAGAACCACUCAGUGUGCAGGGGAUGAUGGGUCCCUGAAAGACUCUAUUAAGGCCCCAUGCUUGAAACAAUGUUUUAUGCACAUGCUUUGUUUGUAGAAAUGUCUGAGGCCACAGAAAGUACUGAAGAAGUAUUUCAGGCAUGUAGACCUGCGUAAGGCGUCUGUCAGGCUACCAUCAAAUCCAGAAUGAGGUUUGAAUGUUACAGGUACAGCUCUUGGACAUUGAGCUACAGUCUACUUGUCUUCAA